rnacentral:rRNA from 1 species
UACAGAGGGGGCAAGCGUUGUUCGGAAUUACUGGGCGUAAAGGGCGCGUAGGCGGCCUGUUAAGUCGGACGUGAAAUCCCCGGGCUCAACCCGGGAACUGCGUCCGAUACUGGCAGGCUUGAAUCCGGGAGAGGGAUGCGGAAUUCCAGGUGUAGCGGUGAAAUGCGUAGAUAUCUGGAGGAACACCGGUGGCGAAGGCGGGUCUCUGGGCCGAUACUGACGCUGAGGAGCGAAAGCGUGGGGAGCGAACAGG